UACAGAGGGUGCGAGCGUUGUUCGGAAUUAUUGGGCGUAAAGCGCUUGUAGGCGGCACGUCAAGUCGCGUGUGAAAUCCCCAGGCUUAACCUGGGAAGUGCGCGCGAAACUGACGAGCUUGAGUGCCGGAGAGGGUCGCGGAAUUCCCGGUGUAGAGGUGAAAUUCGUAGAUAUCGGGAGGAACACCAGUGGCGAAGGCGGCGACCUGGACGGACACUGACGCUGAGGCGCGAAAGCGUGGGGAGCAAACAGG
rnacentral:rRNA from 1 species